GUUAUUCAAAAGGAAGAGUAAGAUAGGCCUAAUUUAAAUACUUUGGGUUUGGCCUAAUAGUAUGGAAUUAAACAUGAAGAUAUUCUUAUUAUCUGUUCUACUCUGAAUUUCAGCCUCAUUACUGAAAAAUGAUCCUAAGGCUCAAAAAAAGCACCUUUAAAAAGCUUCUAAAGCCACCUGCAUAUAUAGCUAGAUCACAAGC
rnacentral:lncRNA from 1 species